GAAAGGAUGUCUGAUAAAAGAGUAGGAUUGUAAAUCCUAAUAUGGUUAAGCCUUCUUUCA
rnacentral:tRNA from 1 species